CAGCAUAAGAAACAAAAGAACUUGAAAUAAUCGGUAUAAAAAUGAUAGAAAAUUAGCAACUAGGUAACCCAAGUCAUUUUGACCUUCAAAAUGGACUUAUAUAAGGACGUUCAUCGACCAACGUAUCUUUGAAGACGGCCCCAAAAUGGAGUCAAGAAUGUUGAUUGCUGUUCUGUUACUCGGUUGUCUCUCGGUCAACUUGGCCCGCUGCGCCCCAGCCCCCGAUCCAGAACCGGAGCCGAACCCUGAACCUAAAAGGCCGAGAGAGAACAACGUCAAUACGAAUGUUGAAAACAAAGUCAAAAUUCGACCUGAGAUUGUACUUCCGCCCAACAUCUGUAAGAUGAUCGAAGAACGCGCAAAUCGUUAGAGACCCUCGGUUUGGUACCUAUUUCCGGGAUUCAGGUCUAACGUGACGGAGAAUGAUACUGGUGAUGCAAAUGUAAUGUGAAUAGCCUCUGUGCAACACUCGAAACUAAAUGUCUCAAACAACGCCUAUGAAAUAAAGGGGUAUUUACAAA